UGGGGAAUAUUGCACAAUGGGCGCAAGCCUGAUGCAGCCAUGCCGCGUGUGUGAAGAAGGCCUUCGGGUUGUAAAGCACUUUCAGCGAGGAGGAAGGUGGUGAGCUUAAUACGCUCAUCAAUUGACGUUACUCGCAGAAGAAGCACCGGCUAACUCCGUGCCAGCAGCCGCGGUAAUACGGAGGGUGCAAGCGUUAAUCGGAAUUACUGGGCGUAAAGCGCACGCAGGCGGUUUGUUAAGUCAGNUGUGAAAUCCCCGGGCUCAACCUGGGAACUGCAUUUGAAACUGGCAAGCUAGAGUCUCGUAGAGGGGGGUAGAAUUCCAGGUGUAGCGGUGAAAUGCGUAGAGAUCUGGAGGAAUACCGGUGGCGAAGGCGGCCCCCUGGACGAAGACUGACGCUCAGGUGCGAAAGCGUGGGGAGCAAACAGAUUAGAUACCCUGGUAGUCCACGCUGU
rnacentral:rRNA from 1 species